UGAGGAAUAUUGGACAAUGGGCGCAAGCCUGAUCCAGCCAUGCCGCGUGUAGGAAGACGGCCCUAUGGGUUGUAAACUACUUUUAUACGGGAAGAAACCUAUCCUCGUGAGGAUAGCUGACGGUACCGUAAGAAUAAGCACCGGCUAACUCCGUGCCAGCAGCCGCGGUAAUACGGAGGGUGCGAGCGUUAAUCGGAAUUACUGGGCGUAAAGCGCAUGCAGGUGGUUUGUUAAGUCAGAUGUGAAAGCCCGGGGCUCAACCUCGGAAGGUCAUUUGAAACUGGCAGGCUAGAGUACUGUAGAGGGGGGUAGAAUUUCAGGUGUAGCGGUGAAAUGCGUAGAGAUCUGAAGGAAUACCAGUGGCGAAGGCGGCCCCCUGGACAGAUACUGACACUCAGAUGCGAAAGCGUGGGGAGCAAACAGG
rnacentral:rRNA from 1 species